rnacentral:lncRNA from 1 species
AUGCACGGACUGGUCAGAUGCCUAUGUCUCGUCCUCUGUCCCUCCCUCCGCGCACGCACAUGUUACGUUUCACUGAUGCCGGAAAUAUUCAGCACACUCCUCUGCAGAAAUACGAGUUGCAGGAGAAGACGUUUGUUUUGUUUCAGGGGGGUGGAAUUUAGAGGAGGUGCCACUUUCAAAUCUUGCUAGCUCUCUUGGUAGCUCUCCAGGAUUGUAGACCCUAGCUUUAAUCCAUG